CGCACGGUCUUUGACCUCUCGUCCCGCACAGCCAAAAUGAAAAAAAUAUCCCCUGAUUGAUUCCUUGCCUUGCCGUCGAUGCGCCGCCUCUCUCCGGCCGCCCCUCUCCGGCUGCCUCUCUCCGCCCCCCUCUCCGCUGUCUCUACCGUCAGGGGCGCCGCGUCGCCGAUGCCUCCUUCUCCGCCCCCCCCCCUCUCCGGCCGCCCCUCUCCAACCGCCGGUCUGCCCCGUGCGGGUCAAUCCAUGCAACCGCCGGUCAGCUCCUUGCGCGGCAACUGCCGAUCGUGGAGGUCGUGGAGAUUACCACCUCCUGCACAAAAUGCUCAAAGCCCCCUCCCCGCCCUUGUUCUCCCCUCGUCUCCCAGUCACCUCUCUCAAAUCCGGCGACGGACCAGCUGCUGCCGCCACCGGGAAACCUCCGACCACAGAAUAGGUCAGACGCCGCCGAUAGUGGCCACGCUGCUGCACCGUCCAUCUUGCUCGUCGCCCACCAGAAGACAGGAGGGCGUGCACAGGACGUCUUCCUCCUCCUUACGCCGCAUCUUUGGACGAAGAAGUGUUGGUGGAGGGCGGUGGCUCCAGGGGCAGUGACCAUCGCGAGGAGGUGACUGCAGGGUACACGAAGGAGUUCUACUUCCACAACCUGCUGCUUGAAUCCUAUUCCUUCUACUGGUUCAGGAGGUAACGAACAUUUGUGUAUUCAUUAGGCCUCAAGAUUGUGCUGUUCGUGGUUAAACAUUUCAGAUCAUCUCCUAGAGUACCUUUUGAAUUGCAGACAAACAUGUCUGACAUAGAAGCCUACAUGCUCAAUAGGAGCUACACACCCUGGUAUAUGCCAACAAUUGACGGGGUUGGUAGAUGUGCUCAUGUGCAGAACUAGGCGACAUCAUCCCCCUCCCUGUAUUAUUUACCGCAGAUUGUGGUGUUUCAAUUAUGCCCAUCUACUCUAUAUGGCUGUUUAAUCUUGUUGUCAGAUUCUCAUUACUGAUUUUUUAUCUAGAAAUUCAUCCUAUUAUAAUCAUAGAUGAGCUUGUUGUUUGCUGUGAUUUCUUUGUGCAAUUCGGAUUAUAAAAACAGAUUCGAGCCCUUGCAUUGAUGGCGUGUUCUAUACUGUCGUGGCCUCCCUCAGAUCUGGUCAUUUGUUUCUACCAUAGUAUGUAGUAAAGCAUUUGCAAUUUGAAGGGGGAAGCUUGAACAAAACAAUAUUUCCUGCUCUUUGUUUGUGUAAUGAUAGCUUGUGCUCGACGACUGCUGAUUAUUUUCCCGGACCAGCAUUAGAUGAAAUUUUGACACACUAAGCCUUUUCAGAGAUCUAACGCAAAUAGAAUUUUUUUUUGCAGAAGAGGAAUCCCCUACUUGGGUGGUACUCAAGGAACUCUCUACUUGAAUGACACUAAGUGCAGAUAUCAUAAAACGCUUAUCAUAAUAUUAUAUGGUGCCAUAGUUAUGCCAUAGUUCUGCAAUUCGAUAACCAGUAUUAGCUUGACAAUUAUUUGGUUCUGGAAACCUGAAGGAUGGUGUAUUCUAUGUGUUGUUAUUAUUCUUUUCUCCUUUUGACAAGCAUACAAGUUAACAUGCCAUUUUUUUUUGGCAGAUACCUGACCAAGGUUUGCAUUAUUGGGCACAUGAUCUGGAGGAAGUUAAGUUAGCAACAACGUUAGUAGGGACCCUAUCUCUCUGCCUCUGAUAGCCUUCCAAGCAUUCAACAAGGACAAUAUUUCUGGAUCCUCUCCUGGAAAAUAAAAAGGGCCAAGCUUAUUAUUGAUAUAGAGCUGCAGAACAAUGUUAUUUCCAGUAGCACAAUUAUCUUUAUUCCUAAAAGAGCUGCUCAAGUACAAAUCAACUAUGUUACAUUGUUUCUUCUUUGGCUGCUGGGAAUUUCUUACAUGGUUUAGUAGAGAUGGUACAUGGUUCAUGUGCAUGAUAAAAGGACGACUGCCUGGGUUACUUCUGAAACUAUGCGAUCAUUUUGUGCUUGCUAUAGAGUGGUUAUCACUGAAGAAGGGAGGUAAAAUAUUUUACAGAAAUCAAAUAUGCGGUUUUUUGUAACCGACAUCUUAUAUUACAAGCUUUAGUGUGAGAAAAUAUCAUCCAAGCUUCUAAAAUGUUUGUGCAUGAUAUCGUGGUAGCCAAUUCUGAGCAAACUAGAUCAUGAAAUAAACAUUCUUUUUUGAUGACAUAGUACAUGUGGUUUUAGGAAAAAGAGAACUCUAUUUCUACAUGCUUUUUAGCAGUGUAGCUUCGAUCCACUUCAGCCUCCCUCAUAAAUUGCAAGAAUACCAUACGGCAAACCUUUGGUAACCUCUGCUUGUUUUAGCAUUAGAUCCCUUAAUAACCUACAAUAUUACCCUGUAAGUGUGUGUGAAUGUGAAGUUAAUGGUUGAACACACCUUUGCUAACCUCUGCUUAUUCCCCUUGUUUAGCAUCGUGUGUAGUCAGAAGCACCCUGGCGAAAGUUAAUUUACAGGGUAAUUUAAACAUAGCGGCCACAUAAUACGCAUGGAACAUUUAAGCAUGAUGGCAUUGGUAUUGAUAUACUAGACGCUUCUAGGAGCAACGUUUACCAACUACGUAAACGAAGAACUUGCUGAUAUGUCAAUAGUUAUGAUGAUUUUAUAAAACACACUGAAAGAUGGGCAUAGAAUAAUCAUCUGACCUAAAAGUUGAAUUAUUUUGCUGAUGCCAUAUGCUAUCUUGUCAUUAUGUACACUAAAAUGAAGUUGAGAGUUCUAAAUAGUGCUUUCGUAUUUAGGAAAAACUUAUUCUUUGUUGAGCAUAUGCAUGUAAGUAUGCCACAAAUAAAUUAGUGAAAACUGAUGCAUUAUUUAUAGUGGAGUGAGUGAUGCGAACAUGCAAUAUUAGUUGCCAAGAAAAAAGCUCUAUAUUUGUUACAUGCUUCCAUACUGACAUUUUUGUUAUAUUUCAUUUGUCAUGCAGCCAAUGGUUCAAAGUAAGUGCAUCAAAAUGCCAUCCUUCUUAGUGUCGUCAGACACGUGUAGGUCGAGGGCUAAACGAUACGCUGAAACCAUGGCCUUCAUUGCGACUCUUGGGCAUCCCUACAUGCCGGAUUCACUAUCCAUGAAACACACACUUCAUGCUUUGAUGAUGACUGACUUCAUGGGGGAAAUAUCGCGUAUGCGACUGAAGUAUGCUACAUGUGCUGCUACUAUCCGUCAUGAAGAAGAGAAGAUGAUGCUGGAACUGUUAACCUCCGCUCCACACGAGCCCAACCGAGGAGAAUGAGCGGUUCAACGGUGUGACAAUACACGCUGAAGAAGUUAUAGUGGUAGUGUUCAGUGUUGUGUUAAACUGAUAGAAUAUCAUCUAUCUCUUGAUCAUCUAUCUAUCGUAAGAUUUGUACUCAGAAUCAUCAAUAUUUUGUAGGCAUGAUGUAUGGAUGUCUUAUCAUGUCUCCUACCUAUAUAUGAUUGGAGCAUAAGAAUGAUAUGAAAAGUAAGUAGUGGUGACGUCAAUUUGUUUUUCCUUGUGUGUUUUCUAAUUGGAAUAAUUGCACCUGGCA